UACAGAGGGGGCAAGCGUUAUUCGGAAUUAUUGGGCGUAAAGGGCGCGUAGGCGGCUUUGCAAGUGACGGGUGAAAUCCCUCGGCUUAACCGAGGAACUGCCUGUCAAACUGCAUGGCUUGAGACCGGGAGAGGUGAGUGGAAUUCCCAGUGUAGCGGUGAAAUUCGUAGAUAUUCGGAAGAACACCAGUGGCGAAGGCGGCUCACUGGACCGGUAUUGACGCUGAGGUGCGAAAGCGUGGGGAGCAAACAGG
rnacentral:rRNA from 1 species